CGCUCAAAGCGAUUGAAUUUUUAUGAUAACUGGCUGAAGUUAACUUCUGGGAUGCUAGAGUUUGCUAAUCUUGUAAGAACACACCUUUGCCAUUACUAAUCAGUAAUCAGUAACUAAGUUGCUCGGACCAACAAAAAUGAGGAUAAUUUAACUAACGGCUACUGUGUUCCGUAACUUCCCUGCUGUCCAAUGCAAUUACUUAAGGCGAUCCAUAAGCUAUGCUUAAAGUUAUGGCAAGUGGGCAAACUUUCGACCAGACGCAAGAUUGAAGCUUAUGAAGCCAUAGAACACACACGCACACACAGACACGUGCGGGUCCAUCAGUUAACCGUAGUGUGUGUGUGUGUGUGUGUGCGCCAGCAAAUGAGGGGGCGGAACGGUGGCAGGCGUGGCCGAGGGGCGGCGUUGGGAGGCAGCCACUCAACUCAGACGCCAGCAACGCGUAGCAACGGUCACAUCCUGCUGGCGAGCUGUCGUUGGAGAGUUGGGCUGGAGAGCCGCCACAGCGAAAUGGUAUUUUCCAUUUAAUUUUUGCACACUCGCACACACGCACAAAAGCUCGCACACGCGGGCCAUAUGUACAUGGGUACAGUGGAGCGUCGAUAAGUGCAAUUAAGCAAAUUUCGAAUGGCAUACAUACAAAUAUGGUCUACAUUAAUAAAGGAAAUCUAAUCUUAGUGAGUUACUACUGUAUGUGGCAGCACACGCACAAGGCGGAGCUGGAGUGUGAGCAAAAAAAGAGGAAGAGGAGCAUCAGAGCAGCCAGAGGUGGCAGCAACAACAACAACAACAACAACGGCAGCAGCAGCAACAGCAGAGGCCCAAGCAUUAUUGUCGUCGCGAAACGAAACGUGAGCGUAACGAAUGCGCAAGCAGAAAUCCAGCAACAAAGCAAAUGCAGGCCAAAAAGGCGGUGGAAGCAGGAGGGGUGGUGCCAGGGGGGGCAGUUAAUGGCGCACAGGCAAAGAGCAACAGCUGCUAACGAUGUUGACGCGUCGAUGACGGGGCCGCAACCAAAUGGGCAGACAGAGCUGCGAAAGAGAGGACAAAGAGGACGAUGAGCAGGAGGCGAAGGCGGUGAACGGCGGAGAGCACAAGAGCUUGGCUCUUUUAUGGCUAAAAACGCUAAUGUGACCGAUGGACCUGUAUGGGGGAGGGGAAGGGGGAGGGGAAGGGAGCAUGACGGAGCGCAAAGCACACGCAAAAAGCCCAGGCAGCAACAAAGCAACCCAAGCACUCGGCAGCUAGAAGAAGACACCCUCAAAAGAUGGAACACCGCAGCGGCCAAUAUGGCGACCCUUGCCAUUUCCCAUUCCACUUUCCCUGCCCACCAGCCCCCACCCCCUCCUUACAGCACCCUCCUUACUUCGCACCCACUCACACUCACACUACCGAAAUUAACGCAAAACAAAUGAAGCACACGCAUGUGCCGCCGCCGCAGUCGCAGUCGCAGUCGACGUUGGCAGCGAACUCAAGCGCAUCGCAACAACUACAGACACAACAAAUGAGCAGAAUUGCAUUUUGUGCAUUUCGACCCCCAAAAAGUGUAAGCUGGACGCAAAAAUGCAAAUGACAGGCGGCAGACAGUAAUCCCCCAUGGAUGAACGGGCUAGCGGGGCGGGGGCGGGGGCGGGUGAUGGUGCGUUGCGAGAGGGAGAUGGACUGACCGCCCAUUCCACUCAUCGAAGUUGCUUGGACCUAUCCACACCACUCAAAAUCUGGAGUUGGUUCGGACAUGGCCACAGGUGGCGCCGGCAUGGUCGACGAGAUCACCGAGGUGGUGGAGCUGUCCCUGGAGGAGGCCAAGCGGAUGACCCAACAGGGAGCCGUCAACAAUAUCACAGUUUAAUGUGAUAUGAUUUUGACUUAUGCUUGAUAUUUAAAUCAUUAAACAUAUUAUAAAAUCGCUUUCAAUUUCGUGCAGGUCAACGCUCUCCACGCACACGCACACACACGCAGGCAAACAAACGCAUCGUAAUUGCAUUGGACCGUUCAAUAAAUAAAUUGGCAAGUGUUGUUGUUACUGUUGCUACCAAUUUGCUGGAAGGGAGAGCCAGAUCCUAGUUUAGCCGUCAUUGAGUUCGGAUCGAUCGGUUACAAUAAUUUAAGGUGCAGCUGUGUGAAAAGUUUCCCUUUUCCGCAAUCAAAGAAAUUUAAUCACUAACAAAGGCAAAAAAAGAGCAAAAGAAACAAGCGAGCAAGGCAGAGCAAGUAAAACGGACAGAAAAAACUUUCAUUUUCAAUGUCAAGCAACAAUAACAACAACAAAAAAAGUCUGCCGGUUGGGGGAGGCGAUUUUGUGAUGAGAGAGCCAAAAACAGAGAGCGGAAUUAAGAAAGAGAAAGGAAGAAGAUUUAGAAAGUUUUGCCAUAUCGUUUUUGAUUUUGGCGGGAGAGCGCUUUUUGCCCCUCUCGAUAACACUGCCACACCGCUCUCUUCCCUUUUCGUCUCGCUCACGCCAUGUGGUUACAACCAGACGCGUGGCCUUUGCAACAACAACAGUCUUACAACAAUAGAUGCACAUACUGACACUCGCCGCACACUCACACUCGCACAGAUGGGCAAAAUAUUGAAAAAUUGCCAAAAUAAGAGACCAGACAUUUUUCGAAUGUCGAAAACAAGAUAUACUAUACACACCAUAUAUCAUAUAAUGGGAAGAGCUCUUGAAAACUCACCAUGCUC
rnacentral:sRNA from 13 species